UCCUACGGGAGGCAGCAGUGGGGAAUAUUGCACAAUGGGCGCAAGCCUGAUGCAGCAACGCCGCGUGAGGGACGAAGGCCUUCGGGUUGUAAACCUCUUUUAGUAGGGAAGAAGCGACCGGGUUUUCCUGGGAGUGACGGUACCUGCAGAAAAAGCACCGGCUAACUACGUGCCAGCAGCCGCGGUAAUACGUAGGGUGCAAGCGUUGUCCGGAAUUAUUGGGCGUAAAGAGCUCGUAGGCGGUUUGUCGCGUCUGCUGUGAAAACCCGAGGCUCAACCUCGGGCCUGCAGUGGGUACGGGCAGACUAGAGUGCGGUAGGGGAGAUUGGAAUUCCUGGUGUAGCGGUGGAAUGCGCAGAUAUCAGGAGGAACACCAAUGGCGAAGGCAGAUCUCUGGGCCGUAACUGACGCUGAGGAGCGAAAGCAUGGGGAGCGAACAGGAUUAGAUACCCUGGUAGUCCAUGCCGUAAACGUUGGGAACUAGAUGUGGGGACCAUUCCACGGUCUCCGUGUCGCAGCUAACGCAUUAAGUUCCCCGCCUGGGGAGUACGGCCGCAAGGCUAAAACUCAAAGGAAUUGACGGGGGCCCGCACAAGCGGCGGAGCAUGCGGAUUAAUUCGAUGCAACGCGAAGAACCUUACCAAGGCUUGACAUAUACCGGAAACGGCUGGAAACAGUCGCCCCGCAAGGUCGGUAUACAGGUGGUGCAUGGUUGUCGUCAGCUCGUGUCGUGAGAUGUUGGGUUAAGUCCCGCAACGAGCGCAACCCUCGUCCUAUGUUGCCAGCACGUAAUGGUGGGAACUCAUGGGAUACUGCCGGGGUCAACUCGGAGGAAGGUGGGGAUGACGUCAAAUCAUCAUGCCCCUUAUGUCUUGGGCUUCACGCAUGCUACAAUGGCCGGUACAAAGGGCUGCGAUACCGCAAGGUGGAGCGAAUCCCAAAAAGCCGGUCUCAGUUCGGAUUGAGGUCUGCAACUCGACCUCAUGAAGUCGGAGUCGCUAGUAAUCGCAGAUCAGCAACGCUGCGGUGAAUACGUUCCCGGGCCUUGUACACACCGCC
rnacentral:rRNA from 1 species